rnacentral:rRNA from 1 species
GACGAGGGGUCCUAGCGUUGUUCGGAAUCAUUGGGCGUAAAGCGCGCGUAGGUGGCUUUGUAAGUCAGAUGUGAAAGCCCUGGGCUCAACCCAGGAAGUGCAUUUGAUACUGCGAAGCUUGAAUAUGGGAGAGGGCAGUAGAAUUCCUGGUGUAGUGGUGAAAUACGUAGAUAUCAGGAGGAAUACCGGCGGCGAAGGCGGCUGCCUGGCCUAAUAUUGACGCUGAGGCGCGAAAGCGUGGGGAUCAAACAGG